rnacentral:lncRNA from 10 species
GGAGAGCUUAUAGAAGUUUCAGUGCAUGGGGAGAUAAUGAGAGUAAGAUAAAGAGAGGAAGCAUUUCUGAGAUGUUUUGCUGAGAGUUUAGAUUGUGCACCCUCUCAGGCAUUUUCGAUUGCAGUAAAGAGACUUCAGUAAACAUUAAAACACUUAAUUACUUUGUGAACUUUUGACCACUGUUUCUUUAAAUACAGACUGCAUUUAGGAUUGAGCUGUGAGGAUCCUGGGCUUUAAAUAGGUUCUAGCCUGUUACAAUAUUAUACAAUGCUGGGCAAAGUUAGAGGGAGCUUUGUGAGCAUGCAGGAAAGUGGACUUGAACUUAGAAGAUCCAAAAAGGAGCAAGAGACACCUAAACUGGGACUUGGAGGAUGAAGGGGUUGCAAUGGGGAAAGAUAGUGCAGGAGAGGGUAAAUGAGCAGAGGCAGGAACUGGGGAGAGCCAGGCAUGUUUCAGGAUCUGAAAGUAGGAGGGCAUGGCUGGAACACACUAGCCAGAAGGCAGAAGAAGGCUGUAGAUGAGGCUGUGAGGUCGUAAGGGUCUAAACUCCAUCCUCUUGGCAUUGGGAAACCAUCAAGCACUGUAAACAUUGAAAAGGGACGAUUCACAUGGCGCUAGUUAGUUGUUGGCCCAGCAAAGAGCCCGAUUCUCAAGAGUGGAGUUUUUUUCAUUACCCCAUACUGACCCCACAUCCCACCCUCAAGAAUGGAAAGCUGCAAACUUCAAGAAAAUUAACAAGGAACCAGAAGAUGGCUGGAAAGUUUCCAUAGCCUCCUAGCAAGCAGAGGGUAUUUUAUACCUUCUUGCCUAGUGCAAGACCUAGAGAGGAAAACAUCAUUAUGGAAUGAACUUGAUUGAGAGGAGAUGGCAAAUAGUACAGAAGUGGAAACUUGAGC